rnacentral:tRNA from 1 species
GGCCCGUUGGUCAAGUGGUUAAGACACCGCCCUUUCACGGCGGUAACACGGGUUCGAAUCCCGUACGGUUCA